ACCAGCCAAGUAGSGKGAAGGAUGACUKCCCYWCGGGUUKUAAACUUYUUUUKKUUGGGAAUAAAAGACGCUACGKGUAGCGUUYUGCAUGUWCCUUACGAAUAAGCAUCGGCUAAUUCCGKGCCAGCAGCCGCGGUAAUACGGAAGAUGCGAGCGUUAUCCGGAUUUAUUGGGUUUAAAGGGAGCGUAGGCGGGCUGUUAAGUCAGCGGUAAAAUGUCAAGGCCCAACCUUGUCCUGCCGUUGAAACUGGCGGUCUUGAAUGCACACAAGGGAGAUGGAAUUCGUCGUGUAGCGGUGAAAUGCUUAGAUAUGACGAAGAACUCCGAUUGCGAAGGCAGUCUCCUGGGGUGCUAUUGACGCUGAGGCUCGAAAGUGCGGGUAUCAAACAGGAUUAGAUACCCUGGUAGUCCGCACAGUAUCGAUGAAUGCUGGUUCUUGGCGAUA
rnacentral:rRNA from 1 species